rnacentral:lncRNA from 1 species
GACUACUGACCACUCUGAGUAGAAUUGUAUGAGUACAUGAUGCCUGUGUGCGCAUGUCCUGUGGCCAGCAGACAAUUUCUAAAGCCACUGUCAGGGAGUUGAACUCUGAAGCUGCUACUGGGUGAACAGUUUUGAGCUCUAGACAGGGAGAAAAUGGCUGCUGGGCCCUUACUUUGUCCCUCUAAUGUCUUAGCACCUCCUGAACAGCGCUCAGGAUGUCUCCCUGUCCCAUCUGUGCAGCGUUCUUCUUGCCUUUGCCCGGCUGAACUUUCAUCCUGAACAAGAGGAUCAGUUUUUCAACUUGGUGCAUGAGAAGCUGGACUCCGUGCUGGGGAGCCUGGAGCCAGCCCUGCAGGUGGACCUGGUGUGGGCCCUGUGUGUGCUACAGCAAGUGCAGGUAGCAGAGCUGCAAACAGUUCUCCAUCCUGGGCUCCACACACGCUUUCUAGAGAGCAAGUCUCCAAAGGACCAGAGUACCUUCCAGAAAUUGGUCCACAUCAACAGCACUGCCCUGCUGGAGUACCCUGAAUAUAAAGGCCCUUUCCUGCCAGCCUCAGCUGUAGCCCCCAGUCCCUCACCCUCCAACAAGAAGAUGACACCCCUACAGAAGGAGCUGCAAGACGCACUGAAGGCACUGCUGGGGAACAAUGACACAGGCAGCCUGGAGGUGGCCACACAGUAUGGCUGGGUGCUGGAUGCAGAGGUGCUGCUGGAUGCUGAGGGCCACUUCCUGCCCCUGAGAGAUUUUGUUGCUCCUCACCUUGCCCAGCCAGUUGGGAACCAGCCAC